rnacentral:rRNA from 1 species
UGGGCGCAGCUGAUGCAGCCAUGCCGCGUGUGUGAAGAAGGCCUUCGGGUUGUAAAGCACUUUCAGCCGUGAGGAAGGCGGAGUCGUUAAUAGCGGCCUCGUUUGACGUUAGCUGCAGAAGAAGCACCGGCUAACUCCGUGCCAGCAGCCGCGGUAAU